GAUGAACGCUGGCGGCGUGCCUAAUACAUGCAAGUCGAGCGAACAGACAAGGAGCUUGCUCCUUUGACGUUAGCGGCGGACGGGUGAGUAACACGUGGGUAACCUACCUAUAAGACUGGGAUAACUUCGGGAAACCGGAGCUAAUACCGGAUAAUAUUUCGAACCGCAUGGUUCGAUAGUGAAAGAUGGUUUUGCUAUCACUUAUAGAUGGACCCGCGCCGUAUUAGCUAGUUGGUAAGGUAACGGCUUACCAAGGCGACGAUACGUAGCCGACCUGAGAGGGUGAUCGGCCACACUGGAACUGAGACACGGUCCAGACUCCUACGGGAGGCAGCAGUAGGGAAUCUUCCGCAAUGGGCGAAAGCCUGACGGAGCAACGCCGCGUGAGUGAUGAAGGUCUUCGGAUCGCAAAACUCUGUUAUUAGGGAAGAACAUACGUGUAAGUAACUAUGCACGUCUUGACGGUACCUAAUCAGAAAGCCACGGCUAACUACGUGCCAGCAGCCGCGGUAAUACGUAGGUGGCAAGCGUUAUCCGGAAUUAUUGGGCGUAAAGCGCGCGUAGGCGGUUUUUUAAGUCUGAUGUGAAAGCCCACGGCUCAACCGUGGAGGGUCAUUGGAAACUGGAAAACUUGAGUGCAGAAGAGGGAAGUGGAAUUCCAUGUGUAGCGGUGAAAUGCGCAGAGAUAUGGAGGAACACCAGUGGCGAAGGCGACUUUCUGGUCUGUAACUGACGCUGAUGUGCGAAAGCGUGGGGAUCAAACAGGAUUAGAUACCCUGGUAGUCCACGCCGUAAACGAUGAGUGCUAAGUGUUAGGGGGUUUCCGCCCCUUAGUGCUGCAGCUAACGCAUUAAGCACUCCGCCUGGGGAGUACGACCGCAAGGUUGAAACUCAAAGGAAUUGACGGGGACCCGCACAAGCGGUGGAGCAUGUGGUUUAAUUCGAAGCAACGCGAAGAACCUUACCAAAUCUUGACAUCCUUUGACAACUCUAGAGAUAGAGCCUUCCCCUUCGGGGGACAAAGUGACAGGUGGUGCAUGGUUGUCGUCAGCUCGUGUCGUGAGAUGUUGGGUUAAGUCCCGCAACGAGCGCAACCCUUAAGCUUAGUUGCCAUCAUUAAGUUGGGCACUCUAAGUUGACUGCCGGUGACAAACCGGAGGAAGGUGGGGAUGACGUCAAAUCAUCAUGCCCCUUAUGAUUUGGGCUACACACGUGCUACAAUGGACAAUACAAAGGGCAGCGAAACCGCGAGGUCAAGCAAAUCCCAUAAAGUUGUUCUCAGUUCGGAUUGUAGUCUGCAACUCGACUACAUGAAGCUGGAAUCGCUAGUAAUCGUAGAUCAGCAUGCUACGGUGAAUACGUUCCCGGGUCU
rnacentral:rRNA from 1 species